ACAUACCUCUGUGUAGACGCCUUCACCCUCUUUCAGGUGGUACGUUUGUGUCUCCCAUACAUUCCUUCCGUAAGGAAUUAAAAUUCCCGAAAUACCCCUACUUGGUCAUAUUUGCCAUUCGGAGCAUCACCCUUCAAGGAGGUUUUUGGCACCCUACGGCAGCCGAUUCUGGCCAAAUGGACGUGCUUAUAUUGAGCUGAGGUGAUCCCACGCAUCAAGGGUGCUCUCAACCCAUCACCGCUCGAGUCGGCUGGUUGUAGGUUCGAGUCUUGGUGUGCCCACUAUUGCCCAUUGGUCUUGUGGAAGCGCUGCUUGUCGUACGGGGGUUUGUCCUGGGGGCCAUGAUCACUACCAUGGAGCAUCCUUUUUUCUUUACCAAAAAAAUCCGACUGUGUUAGGUUUUAACCUGUUUAAUGCAUACAUGUUUGGCAUUUUGGAUUUUUCUUAAUAGUUUGGUCCUCUAGGGGCAUUUUGAUAAUUU